AAAGCGUGGCACUGNUGAUGCUAAUAUAGAUUUUAAGACAUCUUGUAAACA
rnacentral:tRNA from 1 species